AAGGUACUUCCUCCGUUUGAAAUUACUUGUCUUAAAAAUAAGUGUAUCUAGAACUAAAAUAUAUCUAGAUAUAUUCAUUUCUGCGACAAGUAAUUUCGAACGGAGGGAGUACAUC
rnacentral:pre_miRNA from 1 species